UGGCACAGUGGUUAAGAGCUUGGCUGCUAACCAAAGAGAUGGUGGUUCAAAUCCACC
rnacentral:tRNA from 1 species